rnacentral:lncRNA from 1 species
CGGAUGUGUUUUCACCACCUGAGGUCCGGUGCAGAUGAUCUCUAGGUAGGAGUGGGGUAAACAAUGAUUGAGGAGUGUUGGGGAUGUUGGGGACUGUGAUGUGAGGGGCCUGCUGAGCACACGGCCCAGGCGCGCAGGUUACUGGAUGUGUGGAUGUUCUUAAGGCACGUGAUCUAUAUCCAGGGAUGCUGGGGAGCACAGGUGUGUGUGGGUGACAUGGUACAUAGUUUCAGAGAUGUACUGGGGGUGUGUGUGAUAUGAAAGUACUGGGAAUUGUGAUUGUGGGGUGCUGGAGCACAAGGUCAGUGUACAGGUUGGUUGGGUGAUGAUUUAAUUGUGGAGUAGUUGGGAUUUGCCAUCUGUUUUGGGACUUGAGCACAUGCCGUGGAGGUGCUGGGUAUGUACAGGGUACAUUAGGAGCUCCUGGGUACCAGGCCUAUGUGUAAGGUUGCUGGAAACAUGGACUGUGGGAAGCGUGGUGGCAGCGGAUGGUCUAUACGCAGACGCUGCCAUGUUUUGGAGUGGUAAGAUGGGUGUCAGAAGAGCCAUGCGGGGUGCAGGGGGGUGUUUGUGAGGCUGGUCUGCUGAGAUGGCUGGAAUCCACCUAUUGCACCCUGUUCACACUCUGGAAGGUGUUCUGAUUAGUCUUGGAGUGCUGAGGAUGGAGGGUGGAGAACUGUCCAGAAGGAAUGUGCCAGGGGCUAUGAGCAGUCCUGUAGUGAACAAGAGUUCAUUAAGAACAGAAAUUCAAGAGCCCCAGGGAAGACGGGGGCUGGCUUGGUUUGGUGGUCCAUUCAGGGCAUGAAGGGGAGGGCAAAGGCGUGAGUCAGAAUGCAAGAGUUCCCCCCAACCUUAACAUAGAGGAAGAAGUAUAUAUGUUGAGAGGAGGGGGAGAUUGGGGGCACCAAGAACGCUAAAAGCC